rnacentral:sRNA from 1 species
GUCUCCCUAGGAGGUGAAGAAAGUUCCAACAGAAUUGGGAAAGAUUUAGCUCAGGGAGACUGAAAUGACCAAGGGGAUAGGAAGAAUGGGAAUUGUCUAAUAUAAUAAAUAAGUGUGGACAAACCAGAGCUGAGGAGAGAUUUAACUGGAAUCUGUAUUACAGGGUGGGGAAAAACAGGACCCAAAGAGGAGAGGUAACAUGCUCAUAUUCACACAAUAGGAACCAAGGCUUUAGCCUUCUCAACUCGUUGACUGGAACAAACCAUAGCAUUGGGUCAGCAGAUCCCUGUCACCCAGAGCAACCCCAUUUGCCAGCAGCAGAUAGGACUGAAUCCCUCUCUGAUCAUCGGGGUGGUGCCUCUAACACAACAGAUGCCCAGGUUGAUAGCAUUGUGGAUCCCAUGUUAGAUCUGGAUAUUCAGGAAUUAGCCAGUCUUACCACUGGAGGAGGAGAUGUGGAGAAUUUUGAAAGACUCUUUUCAAAGUUAAAGGAAAUGAAAGACAAGGCUGCGACACUUCCUCACGAGCAAAGAAAAGUGCAUGCAGAAAAGGUGGCCAAAGCAUUCUGGAUGGCAAUCGGGGGAGACAGAGAUGAAAUUGAAGGCCUUUCAUCUGAUGAAGAGCACUAAAUUAUUUAUACUAGGGUUUGACUAACAAAGAUGCUAGCUGUCUCUGAGAUACCUCUCUACUCAGCCCAGUCAUAUUUUGCCAAAAUUGCCCUUAUCAUGUUGGCUGCCUGACUUGUUUAUAGGGUCCCCUUAAUUUUAGUUUUUAGUAGGAGGUUAAGGAGAAAUCUUUUCUUUCUUCAGUAUAUUGUAAGAGAGUGAGGAAUACAGUGAUAGUAAUGAGUGAGGAUUUCUUAAAUAUACUUUUUUUUUGUUCUAGGAAUGAGGGUAGGAUAAAUCUCAGAGGUCUGUGUGAUUUACUCAAGUUGAAGACAACCUCCAGGCCAUUCCUGGUCAACCUUUUAAGUAGCAUUUCCAGCAUUCACACUUGAUACUGCACAUCAGGAGUUGUGUCACCUUUCCUGGGUGAUUUGGGUUUUCUCCAUUCGAGGAGCUUAUAGCUCUGAGCUAUGAUGCUUUUAUUGGGAGGAAAGGAGGCAGCUGCAGAAUUGAUGUGAGCUAUGUGGGGCUGAAGUCUCAGCCCGCAGCUAAGUCUCUACCUAAGAAAAUGCCUCUGGGCAUUCUUUUGAAGUAUAGUGUCUGAGCUCAUGCUAAGAAUCAAAAAGCCAGUGUGGAUUUUUAGACUGUAAUAAAUGAGGCAAAGGAUUUCUGUUCCAGUGGGAAUAAAACCUCUCUACUGAGUUGUGGGGGAUAUGUUGCAUGUUAGAGAGAACCUUAAGGAGUCCUUGUAUGGGCCAUGGAGACAGUGUGUGAUAAUAUACUGUGAUUUUCAUGAAGAAACUCUUCUGCGUUAGAGUUCUCCCCUGCUGCUUGAGAUGCCAGAGCUCUGUUGUCGCACACCCACAAACCAAGGCACAUUUCCCCCUUUCUCUUUAAAGCCAAAGAGAGAUCACUGCCAAAGUGGGAGCACUAAGGGGUGGGUGGGGAAGUGAAAUGUUAGGCGAUGAAUUCCUGAGCACCUUGUUUUUCUUCCAAGGUUCAUAGCUCCUCUCUGCCCUUCCAAGCCUGUAACCUUGGGGGACUAUCUUUUGUUCUUUAUCCUUUGUCUUGUUUGAGUGGGUCAGCCCCAGAGGAACUGAUAAGCAAAUGGCAAGUUUUUAAAGGAAGAGUGGAAAGUACUGCAAAUAAAAAUCCUUAUUUGUUUUUGU